CUAAAAUCAUCAGAAGCGAUUGACAUUCGUCUUCUGCAUCCCCCAGCUCAUUUCUCCUCCAAUCGCCAAAUUGAAAAAUAAACUACAGACGAGCUGUCAACUGCAGGGAGAGCAAGAGAGAGAGGCGUGACUACUUCUGUUCCCUGUCAAGGAGACGCAACUUUCCCGAUCCCUGUGGACCAAUACAUCAGUAUUGUGUAUUCACAAUACAUUGGUUUUGAGUCAUGUAAUAUAAGAAGGGACAAAUAAUCAUUAUAAACACUGGCUAAAGCCCCAACCACAACAAAAGCAAGCCAGGCUAGAUCUGACUCAUUCAUUCUGAAUGAGGGGCCAACCCAACAUCCAAGGACAACGUACCUCAGAGAUCCUAGGUCCUCAUUCCUGACGGGGACACCGGCGGCAGAGGCAGAGGGGGGACAGCGCAUGCCGUUGACGUAUAUGCUCUGCACCAGGGCUAGCUCCGACGAGUGUUCCAACAUCGCACGGUACUCUUCCAGAAAAAUCCACCUUCUUAUGUGUGUUAAAUGGACACUUCUCUUCUUCUCACUAUUUCUCCCUCUCACCUCUCUAUCUGGGUAGCUUUUUUUCCCUCUCUCUAUUUCUCUCUCGCUCUCUCUGUUUUUCACUCCCACCCCUCUCUUUCUCUCCUCAGAUUUAGUGCAGUCGAGCGGUACACACCCCUUUUGCUGACUGGCGUAGCUGAAAUAAUCCUUUUUGACAGCUCAUCGUGGGCUAAUGCAUUGUGCAGCCCGCGGCAGACCGGUUCGCAGGCUGCAAAGCUGCGGCCACAGUAGUACUCUUCGUCUAAUUGACACCCAUAUUAGGAAGAGUCCAGGAAAUUGGACACGGGUGAUUUAUUCCUACUGUCAGACUGGGCAGACUGGGAUGCAUGGGGAAAAUAAGGGGAAACGUCUGCAAAGUUUGCCAAUGGAUCUCUGGAUCUGUUUCUUUCUCAGGUUCUGGGAUUGAGUAGGUUGUGGUAUGAUCCCUGUUUCAAUGUUUUGCAUAUAUUUGAAUGCUUGGAUACAGGAGAAAUGCAGGCCAAAUGUAGGUCGAUACCAGGUGUUGUUGUUACAAAGGAAAUACUGUACGUACAGGCUCAACCUCAGGUACUGCACUUGUGGCAGGAAUCAUAGUGUGGUCCAACCAAAGUCUGUGUCAAGCAGGGAAAUCAAUCCAACAAGCAAAGCACCACACCCUUUUUAGAACAGAUGCAUGAAUUUGUAUGUAAAAAAACUGGAUUCUGAAGUUUCAAACUUCAAAUGUUGAAAUGAUUGAAAUGUUCUAACAACUCCAUCUACUAACUUUGCAGUUACAUGCAGAUCUUUUGGUCGAGAUUUAGUCCGUGAAAACGCCAAAUAUUUAACACCAGGAAACAUUUAUUGGGGCACGGCUUUUAUCCAAAACCCUUAUCCAGUCCAGUCAUACCAUCACUUUCUGAGUAAUCUUCUUUUAGACAGGAGGAUGCGCAUAUGUCACAUUCUUCACAUUCCCUGGACUGACUGAUGAUAAACCAGAGGAUGAGAAGAGGGAGGGGAGAGAGGUACAGGGAGCGACAGAGGAGAGACACAGAGAGGGGGUGAUGGAGACCUUUGUGAGAGGGGGAGACAGAGCCAACCCUGUCUACCUCUGUACCCUCUCUACAGUAUGUUGUCAUUAUUACACUGGUGCAGAGAUGGAUAGCAUAGCUUGCUGUAUGUUUAGUCAGUAAGAAAAAAUUCUGGUAAGCAUGGCUAUCUUUUAAUAAAGGAAGGAUUAUGCUAGUCUCCUCUCUCAGAUGGCAUUUUGUUUGCAUGUUGAUCCUAACAUGAACAGAAAUCUCUCUGCAAUACUUUGCUAUAUGAAAUACAGCCCCAUUUUACGUUCCAAAUGGCACCAUAUUCCCACAUAGUGCACUACUUUUGAUCAGAGCCCUAUAGGUCCUGGUCAAAAGUAGUGCACUACAAAUGGAAUAGGGUGCCAUUUGGGAUACACUCAUUAUCAUAUCCCAUGGCAGUGUAGCAUAUUAGUUGUUUGACCAUGUCAAAUACUAGUGUGGUCAGUUGUCAUAUCUGUUUGUAGUAUAGCCAACGGUUCUUCUAACGUGCGUCUAUUCUCUUGUUUGGCAUGACAACACACGGUGGAGACGUUGGCUAUAGCACAAACAGAUCUGGUAACUAGGCCAGUCAAAUGCAUUCUCAACUACUUCACAUAAGACACACACACACUUGAAGAACAGUUUUACAUAAAGUGUUGUCACAGACCCUGGAGCCAUUGGCCACCAUCAACUGACAACAGGAACCAAAACAUGAAGAGGCAUACCCUUAUGUCGUUUCAAAUUACUGCCCUAAUUUGCAUAGCUUAUACACCUACAAUAGAGUUACCAAAAUUAAAAGAAGUAUGGCAUGCAGUGAGAAUUUCCUAUUUAUAACUUUAUGUAGUUUACAACUACUGCUUUAGUACCAUAAUUUGCAUGGCAACUCAUCAUAGUCCAUCCGGACUACACCACAGUGCUAUCAAAGUGAAGAGUAUGGCAGGAGUACAGUAGGCAGAGGAAAUAAACUAGAAAAUAUUUCACUAUGGCAUGCAGCCAGAUGACUUCCUGUUGAUGCGUAUAGUUCCUCCUUUUAUUCCAGGUACAUAAAGAAACAACCUUUAAGAUGAGAUUUGCUCUGUAAUAUCCUUCUCGGACUCUGAGAGCCCAGGAGAAAAUAAAUCUAGGCCUCCGACCCCCAUAGGCGUUCUCUCUUGCUCUCUCUCUCUUUCUCAUUCUCUCUCUCUGACUAGGAAGUAGGAAAGUCAUUUGAAACAGGGUCAUGUAUGCUGUGCAGUACAUGUGGGUGUGUGUGCUGCAUGUGUGCCGAGCGGGUAUCAUAGGGGAUAAGACUGACAUGGUGAAGGGGAUCCUCUGAUCUGAGCGUAAAUCCCUCUGGUUUCAGCCUCGCUCUUUCUUGCACACUUAGUUUCCGCUGACAUAAAUAUUUUAACGCUGAUGUUGAAACCCUAGCUAGUCUUUGUGAUGUGUUGCUGCACCAUAUAAAGCAGAGAGCAACUAAAGUUAUUGUGUUCUUGCACUAAGUGAACUUGCAGUAUCUCCUGAAAUACCUCUGAUCCAAGUGAUACAUUCGACAGUAGGUUUGAUUCUAAUGGAAGAAAAUUGAUUUUGAAAGUGAAGCUGUAUCUAUUACAGAAACAUUGAAGUUAAAUUAUUCAGGAACUAACAUCCAUUUCAACGUAACACUUUCCAGAAGGUGAAUAGAAUCUGAAAGGGAAGACUGCACAUCUGUAAACUAACCACAUGUGCUAGGCUACUGAAAGACACAUGAAAGGGUUUGAGACCUCUUGUCUGGCAGUCUCUCUCUCACUCUUUCGUUCUCACUCACGUGCUCCCCAUGACCCAAAGUGACAGAGUCAGUUUGUCUGGUGACUCAAUGUUCACUAGCACUGCAGAAAGACUUUUUUAUGAAACCGGAAAACAACUACCUUCUACUUUCUACGGUCAGAUUGUGAAACUGCUGUCUGUCUUGUUUUGUUGAAACCUCCAUGCAUUAUUUUGUGAAAAUGAAACCUCCAUCCAUAGGCUUUGGUUCUGGGUGUUUGAGGUGUCUGAUAGCUUUCAUUGGGUAAUCUCAAAUCAAAUUGCAUUGGUCACAUAUACAUAUUUAGCAGAUGUUAUUGCGGGUGUAGAGAAAUGCUUGUGUUCCUAGCUCCAACAGUGCAGUAGUAUCUAAUAGUGCAGUAGAAUCUAAAAAUUAUUCACAAUACACACACACAUCUAAAAGAAUGGAAAUGGGUUGGCGCCUCCCCUUGGGUUGUGCCGUGGCGGAGAUCUUUGUGGGCUAUACUCUGCCUUGUCUCAGGAUGGUAAGUUGGUGGUUGAAGAUAUCCCUCUAGUGGUGUGGGGGCUGUGCUUUGGCAAAGUGGGUGGGAUUAUAUCCUGCCUGUUUGGCCCUGUCCGGGGGUAUCAUCGGAUGGGGCCACAGUGUCUCCUGACCCCUCCUGUCUCAGCCUCCAGUAUUUAUGCUGCAGUAGUUUGUUGGGGGGCUAGGGUCAGUCUGUUAUAUCUGGAGUACUUCUCCUGUCUUAUCUGGUAACCUGUGUGAAUUUAAGUAUGCUCUCUCUCUCUAAUUCUCUCUUUAUCUUUCUCUCGGAGGACCUGAGUCCUAGGACCAUGCCUCAGGACUACCUGGCAUGAUGGCUCCUUGCUGUCCCCAGUCCACCUGGCUGUGCUGCUGCUCCAGUUUCAACUGUUCUGCCUGCGGCUAUGGAACCCUGACCUGUUCACCGGACGUACUACCUGUCUCAGACCUGCUGUUUUCAACUCUCUAGAGACAGCAGGAGUGGUAGAGAUACUCUCAAUGAUCGGCUAUGAAAAGCCAACUGACAUUUACUCCUGAGGUGCUGACUUGUUGCGCCCUCGACAACUACUGUGAUUAUUAUUAUUUGACCAUGCCUGUCAUUUAUGAACAUUUGAACAUCUUGGCCAUGUUCUGUUAUAAUCUCCACCCGGCACAGCCAGAAGAGGACUGGACACCCCUCAUAGCCUGGUUCCUCUCUAGGUUUCUUCCUAGGUUUUGGCCUUUCUAGGGUGUUUUUCCUAGCCACCGUGCUUUUACACCUGCAUUGCUUGCUGUUUGGGGUUUUAGGCUGGGUUUCUGUACAGCACUUUGAGAUAUCCGCUGAUGUGAGAAGGGCUAUAUAAAUUUGAUUUGAUGAGAAAUAUUUGCAUAUUGGAUCAAGCAAUGUCGGAGUGGCAUUGACUAAAAUACAGUAGAAUAGAAUACAGUAUAUACAUAUGAGUUGAGUAAAGUAGUUUGUAAACAUCAUUAAAGUGACUAGUGUUCCAUUAUUAAAGUGGCCAGUGAUUCCAAGUCUAUCUAUAUAGGGCAGCAGACUAAGGUGCAGGGUUGGGUAACGGGGUGGAAGCCGGCUAGUGAUGGCUAUUUACCAGUCUGAUGGCCUUAAGAUAGAAGCUGUUUUUCAGUCUCUCGGUCCCAGCUUUGAUACACCUGUACUAACCUCGCCAUCUGGUUGAUAGCAUGGUGAACAGGCUGUGGCUCGGGUGGUUGAUGUCCUUGAUGAGGCUUCCUGAGACAGGUGUCCUGCUGUAGGUGUCCUGGAGGGCAGAUAGUUUGCCCCCGGUGAUGCAUUAGGCAGACCGCACUACCCUCUGGAGAGCCCUGCGGUUGCGGGCGGUGCAGUUGCCAUACCAGGCGGUAGGAUGCUCUCAAUUGUGCAUCUGCAGAAAUUUGUGAGGGUGUUAAGAGCCAAGCCAAAUUUCUUCAGCCUCCUGAGAUUGAAGAGGGGGGGGGGGGGAAAUCUUAACCACCCAGCACCAUAAGAGAAAUUUUGCUAAGAUUAUCAACAGGACUAGGCAGUCAUGGUCAUCACGAGAGGAGGAGAUCGUGUACCUGUCUACUGUCUCAUAUCACACCAGAGAGGAUACAGUUUGCUUGUAAAAAAGGAUUUGCACGACAUUUACAUUAUUACUACAUUAGCAGGGAAGAGCUUGUAUAAGUCUAGUUUAAUUUCAAAUGCCAAACUUGUGCACAAAAUGUUUGCUUGCACUUAACUCUGUACAUAUAAUGCUUUGUGGCUUUUUAUGAGUAUGUAUGAGCCUACCACACUUUCUUACGAAGGCUGUUGUAUAAACUUAGUUACAUAUUGAAAUAUUUGUGUAAUGUUGAAUGAAUGCAUUGUGUUGCAUAACCUGAUAAAGCUAGCAGAAAGCCAUGAAA